rnacentral:rRNA from 1 species
AGUGAACGCUGGCGGUAGGCCUAACACAUGCAAGUCGAACGGCAGCGCAGUAAGAGCUUGCUCUUACGGGUGGCGAGUGGCGGACGGGUGAGGAAUACAUCGGAAUCUACUUUUUCGUGGGGGAUAACGUAGGGAAACUUACGCUAAUACCGCAUACGACCUACGGGUGAAAGCAGGGGAUCUUCGGACCUUGCGCGAUUGAAUGAGCCGAUGUCGGAUUAGCUAGUUGGCGGGGUAAAGGCCCACCAAGGCGACGAUCCGUAGCUGGUCUGAGAGGAUGAUCAGCCACACUGGAACUGUGACACGGUCCAGACUCCUACGGGAGGCAGCAGUGGGGAAUAUUGGACAAUGGGCGCAAGCCUGAUCCAGCCAUACCGCGUGGGUGAAGAAGGCCUUCGGGUUGUAAAGCCCUUUUGUUGGGAAAGAAAAGCAGCAGGUUAAUACCCCGCUGUUCUGACGGUACCCAAAGAAUAAGCACCGGCUAACUUCGUG